rnacentral:rRNA from 1 species
CGGAAUGAGUAGCGCGAAUGCAGUGAGAAUCUGCAUGGCCGAAAGCCUCAGGUUUUUGGAGGAAGGUUCGUCCGCUCCAAGUUAGUCGGGAGCUAAGGUGAGGCCGGAAGGCGUAGCCGAUGCACAGACGGUAGAGAUUCCGUCACCACCAAAAGAGUUAAGCACAGGGACACAUUUGAAGUCUCAGAGCCGGGUGUUGGUUCCGGUAGAGAUCGAGGGAAGUUAGUACCGAAGUCUGAGAUGGAAGAUGGCGAGAAAAGCUGUGUGUAUUUCUGAGGUGCCCGUACCGCAAACCGACACAGGUAGGUAGGAAGAAGAUUCUAAGGCCAACGGGAGAAGGGUUGUUAAGGAACUCGGCAAAUUGACCCCGUAACUUCGGGAGAAGGGGUGCUCCAGAGAUGGAGCCGCAGAGAAUCGGCCCAAGCAACUGUUUACCAAAAACACAGGUUUGUGCUAAAUCGAAAGAUGACGUAUACGAGCUGACGCCUGCCCGGUGCUGGAAGGUUAAGAGGAGAUGUGCAAGCAUUGAAUCGAAGCCCCAGUGAACGGCGGCCGUAACUAUAACGGUCCUAAGGUAGCGAAAUUCCUUGUCAGGUAAGUUCUGACCCGCAUGAAAGGCGUAAUGAUUUGGGCACUGUCUCAACAGCCCGCCCGGCGAAAUUGUAGUACCGGUGAAGAUGCCGGUUACCCGCGACAAGACGGAAAGACCCCAUGGAGCUUUACUGUAGCCUAAUAUUGGGUUUCGAUGUUGCAUGCACAGGAUAGAUGGGACACAGGGAAACAAGUGCUUUGGCAUUUGUGGAGUGGCCGUUGGGAUACCAUCCUUGCGAUAUUGGAAUUCUAACCUGCGCCUUUGAAUCAAGGCGGGGGACAUUGUUAGGUGGGCAGUUUGACUGGGGCGGUCGCCUCCUAAAGAGUAACGGAGGCGUUCAAAGGUUCGCUCAGCUUGAACGGAAAUCAAGCAAAAGAGUGCAAACGCAGAAGCGAGCCUAACUGCGAGACUGACGGGUCGAGCAGUAACGAAAGUUGGAGUUAGUGAUCCGGUGGUAUGUGAGUGGAAAUGCCAUCGCUCAACGGAUAAAAGUUACCCUGGGGAUAACAGGCUGAUCUCCCCCAAGAGUCCACAUCGACGGGGAGGUUUGGCACCUCGAUGUCGGCUCAUCGCAUCCUGGGGCUGUAUUCGGUCCCAAGGGUUUGGCUGUUCGCCAAUUAAAGCGGUACGCGAGCUGGGUUCAGAACGUCGUGAGACAGUUCGGUCCCUAUCUGUCGUGGGCGCAGGAUAUUUGAUGGGAGCUGUCCCUAGUACGAGAGGACCGGGACGGACGUACCUCUGGCGCACCAGUUGUUCCGCCAGGAGCAUAGCUGGGCAACUACGUACGGAUCGGAUAAACGCUGAAAGCAUCUAAGCGUGAAGCCGACCCAAAGAUAA